rnacentral:rRNA from 1 species
AGUGAACGCUGGCGGUAGGCCUAACACAUGCAAGUCGAACGGCAGCACAGUAAGAGCUUGCUCUUACGGGUGGCGAGUGGCGGACGGGUGAGGAAUACAUCGGAAUCUACUUUUUCGUGGGGGAUAACGUAGGGAAACUUACGCUAAUACCGCAUACGACCUACGGGUGAAAGCAGGGGAUCUUCGGACCUUGCGCGAUUGAAUGAGCCGAUGUCGGAUUAGCUAGUUGGCGGGGUAAAGGCCCACCAAGGCGACGAUCCGUAGCUGGUCUGAGAGGAUGAUCAGCCACACUGGAGCUGAGACACGGUCCAGACUCCUACGGUAGGCAGCAGUGGGGAAUAUUGGACAAUGGGCGCAAGCCUGAUCCAGCCAUACCGCGUGGGUGAAGAAGGCCUUCGGGUUGUAAAGCCCUUUUGUUGGGAAAGAAAAGCAGCAGGUUAAUACCCCGCUGUUCUGACGGUACCCAAAGAAUAAGCACCGGCUAACUUCGUG